GCAAGAUUAAAACUCAAAGGAAUAGACGGGGACCCGCACAAGCGGUGGAGCAUGUGGUUUAAUUCGACGAUACGCGAAGAACCUUACCUGGCCUUGACAUAGUGAGAACCUAAUAGAGAUAUAAGGGUGCUAGUUUACUAGAGCUUACAUACAGGUGCUGCACGGCUGUCGUCAGCUCGUGUCGUGAGAUGUUGGGUUAAGUCCCGCAACGAGCGCAACCCUCGUGUUUAGUUACUAACAGUUCGGCUGAGGACUCUAGACAGACUGCCUGGGUAACCAGGAGGAAGGUGAGGACGACGUCAAGUCAUCAUGGCCCUUACGGCCAGGGCUACACACGUGCUACAAUGGGGUAUACAAAGAGCCGCAAUACCGUGAGGUGGAGCAAAUCUCAUAAAAUAUCUCCCAGUUCGGAUAGCAGUCUGCAACUCGACUGCUUGAAGUUGGAAUCGCUAGUAAUCGUAGAUCAGCAAUGCUACGGUGAAUACGUUCCCGGAUCUUGUACUCACCGCCCGUCACACCAUGGGAAUUGAAUUCAUUCGAAGCGGGGAUGCUAAAAUAGCUACCUUCCACAGUGGAUUUAGUAACUAGGGUGAAGUCGUAACAAGGUA
rnacentral:rRNA from 1 species